UGGGGAAUCUUCGGCAAUGGACGCAAGCCUGACCGAGCAACGCCGCGUGAGUGAAGAAGGCCUUCGGAUCGUAAAACUCUGUUGUUAGGGAAGAAACAGGACGUUCGUAACUAAACGUCUCAUGACGGUAUCGAACCAGAAAGCAACGGCUAACUACGUGCCAGCAGCCGCGGUAAUACGUAGGUUGCAAGCGUUGUUCGGAGUUAUUGGGCGUAAAGCGAGCGCAGGCGGUUUCUUAAGUCUGGUGUGAAAGCCCCCGGCUCAACCGGGGAGGGUCAUUGGAAACUGCGAGGCUUGAGUGCAGAAGAGGGGAGUGGAAUUCCAUGUGUAGCGGUGAAAUGCGUAGAUAUAUGGAGGAACACCAGUGGCGAAGGCGGCCCUCUGGUCUGUUACUGACGCUGAUGCUCGAAAGCGUGGGGAGCAAACAGG
rnacentral:rRNA from 1 species